rnacentral:tRNA from 1 species
GCUUCAGUGUCGAGCUGGCUAAGACGCUUGCCUCGGAAAGUCGAGAGGUCCCAGGUUCGAAUCCUGGCUGAGGUA